AGGGAAUCUUCCGCAAUGGACGAAAGUCUGACGGAGCAACGCCGCGUGAGUGAUGAAGGUUUUCGGAUCGUAAAGCUCUGUUGCCAGGGAAGAACGUCCGUUAGAGUAACUGCUAACGGAGUGACGGUACCUGAGAAGAAAGCCACGGCUAACUACGUGCCAGCAGCCGCGGUAAUACGUAGGUGGCAAGCGUUGUCCGGAAUUAUUGGGCGUAAAGCGCGCGCAGGCGGCUGUUUAAGUCUGGUGUUUAAUCCUGGGGCUCAACCCCGGGUCGCACUGGAAACUGGGCAGCUUGAGUGCAGAAGAGGAGAGUGGAAUUCCACGUGUAGCGGUGAAAUGCGUAGAGAUGUGGAGGAACACCAGUGGCGAAGGCGACCCUCUGGGCUGUAACUGACGCUGAGGCGCGAAAGCGUGGGGAGCAAAC
rnacentral:rRNA from 1 species